rnacentral:rRNA from 1 species
AACGUAGGACACAAGCGUUAUCCGGAGUUACUGGGCGUAAAGGGCGCGUAGGCGGCCAGCACAAGUCAGUUGUGAAAUCUCCGAGCUUAACUCGGAAAGGUCAACUGAUACUGUGCGGCUAGAGUGCGGAAGGGGCAACUGGAAUCUCGGUGUAGCGGUGAAAUGCGUAGAUAUCAGGAGGAACACCGGUGGCGAAGGCGGUUCUCUGGGCCUUACCUGACGCUGAGGAGCGAAAGCGUGGGGAGCGAACAGG